UGAGGAAUAUUGGUCAAUGGAGGCAACUCUGAACCAGCCAUGCCGCGUGAAGGAUGACGGCCCUAUGGGUUGUAAACUUCUUUUGAAUAGGAAGAAACUUAUCUACGUGUAGAUAACUGACGGUACUAUUAGAAUAAGGAUCGGCUAACUCCGUGCCAGCAGCCGCGGUAAUACGGAGGAUCCAAGCGUUAUCCGGAUUCAUUGGGUUUAAAGGGUCCGUAGGCGGGUCUUUAAGUCAGUGGUGAAAGCCGACAGCUCAACUGUCGAACUGCCAUUGAUACUGGAGACCUUGAGUACAAAUGAAGUAGGCGGAAUGAGUCAUGUAGCGGUGAAAUGCAUAGAUAUGACUCAGAACACCGAUUGCGAAGGCAGCUUACUAAAAUGUAACUGACGCUGAGGGACGAAAGCGUGGGGAGCGAACAGG
rnacentral:rRNA from 1 species